AUGGACAUGGCAGUGCUGCUGCAGCAACAGUCCCACCCAGACAAUUGGAAAAAGAUGCAGAGAGACUGAAAGCGGCGAGGAAGAGGGUUUGAACAAUUCAGAGUUCACCAGCAGUAAAAUAGACAUUUGUGUGAAGAGCCACCCACUGACUCGGGAGAAGUAGAGAAAAUUCUAGUCCAUGUCUGCCUGUGAUCCCAGUUCCUUUUCCAACAAAACAACUGUCUCACUGAACAACGUAGCAUGAAACAAGGAGGCCCAGAGGGGGAGUGGGCGGAUAUAGGAGGACCUAGGCUGCAUGUUGCUCAAUUAUCAUCACCAUGUGUAGCUAACACUAUAUUUCAAAGACAUGUGGUGCAUUAAUGAAAGAACAUUUUAACAGCUCUAGAGUAAAUCACAACCACUUCCUU